UUCUAAAAGAAUUAAUUUUUAGUAAGACCUGCUCAAUGAAAAAUUCAAUAGCCGCAAAUCAUAUGUGCUAAGGUAGCAUAAUAACUUGCCUUUUAAUUAAAGGCUAGAAUGAACGGCCUAACAUGUUUUCUGCUUUAUUAUCUCAAACUAUUUUAAUUUAUCCUUUAAGUAAAAAGACUUAAAUAUCAAGAGGGACGACAAGACCCUGUCAAACUUCACAUUCACGUUUUACUGGGGCGGUAAGAAAUAUAUACUUUCUAUAUCUACUUAAAUCAAAAUCCUUUAACAAAGAUACAAAACCAAGUUACUGCAGGGAUAACAGCAUAAUUAUUUCCAAGAGUCCUUAUCCAAGAAAUAGAUUGUGAUCUCGAUGUUGAAUUAAAAAUUCUUUUAAUAGAGCAGAAUCCUAAAAAGAAAGUCUGUUCGACUUUUAAUUUUUU
rnacentral:rRNA from 1 species